UGAUCAAGAACACUCUGACCCAAACUCCCCAACAAUAGCUGAAAUUUAUGCUAAAAAUUUCGCUCCACAAACUCAAACACAAACUGAAGUAACCUCUCCCCUCCGAACUUCUAUUCCACCACAAACAACCACCACACCCUCUGAAACUCAACCAUCUGUAAUUCGCCCAUCUGAACCUUAUAUCACUCCACCAUUAAUUCCCGCUGUACCUAGCCCAGACUCUGACCCAUUAGAUGUAAAC
rnacentral:lncRNA from 1 species